rnacentral:lncRNA from 1 species
UAUUCUUUAGGAAGCCGGUUCUCCCACGUUUUUUUAAUUCAAUCCCAUCUAUGAAAGUCUCUUACUCAGGUUUUUUUUUUUUUCAAAAUCAAAGCCUCCGAACAGAGAACCACAUUUCUUAGUUGGCCUACUACAUAUAUUGAUACUAGCCCAAUGGCGUCGUCCAUUUCUAGCUUUUAGUCUAAUUUCUUUGUAUAAUCUCGUUUUGAUAGGAGCUAAUGACCAAUGAGUAUAACUUUGCCCCUAUGCAAUUAACUUUACGUACCAAACGACUUGAAUGAUCUAAUUUAAUAUUAUAUCAUGAACCAAACGAUCAUUAUGAGUCAGUGUAACAUUAAGUAACGUACCAAACUCCUAGUACAUUACAAACACAAUGUAUAACGUUUUUUCAGACAAAUACGUUUCAAAAAUAAAUAAAAAAUUAUGUACCAAAUGCCUGAAAUGAUCUAAUUUAAUAUUAUAUCAUGAACCAAACGAUCAUUAUGAGUCAGUGUAACAUUAAGUAACGUACCAAACUCCUGUUACAUUACAAACACACUGUAUAAUGUUUUUCCAGACAAAUAAGUUUCAAAAAUUAUUGAAACUUUACGUACCAAAUGCCUAGAAUGAUCUAAUUUAAUAUUAUAUCAUGAAUCAAACGAUCAUUAUGAGUCAGUGUAACAUUAAGUAACGUAUCAAACUCUUGGUAAAUUACAAACACACAUUGUAUAACGUUUUUCCAAACAAAUAAGUUUCAAAAAUAAAAAAACUUUACGUACCAAACGCCUUAAAUGAUCUAAUUUAACAUUCUAUCAUGAACCAAACAAUCAAUAUAAGUAUGUGUAACAUUAAGUAACGUACCAAACUCUUUGUACAUUACAAACACACACUGAUAACGUUUUUCCAGACAAAUACGUUUCAAAAAUAAAAACUUUACGUACCAAACGAUCAAUAUGAGUCAACAUAACAUUAGAUGACAUACCAAACUCUUGGUACAUUACAAAGUUGCAGUCCAAUAAUGUACCAAAUUAAAAAUGUUAACUGGUACAUUACAAAGUCGCAGUCCAAUAUGAGUCAGCAUAACAUUAAUAAUGUACUAAUCAUAGCCUUGCUCAGGACCCUCAACUUCUUAUACUAGCUACGUACGUUGCGGUGUAACUCCUAACAAGUUGGAUGGAUCUGAGAUCCAACCGAAGCUCCAUAUGGGAUUCUUAAUUCAAUUAAUACUAAAACCAUAAUUAAUAAUUAGGCUAAUACACAACAUGCAUCGACCCUAACGUGUGAAUCAUAUUUUUUAACUCGAUAACAGCUUCAGCUAUACCUAGAUUAAUUAAGUUUUCAUCUUUUAUUUUUUUUCAUUUAAUCAAAUCCUUCGACUUCGAAAGACAAUCAAAAUCAAUGCACCCAACUGAUAAUUGAAUAAAAAUCAGUAACUGGAACCUGAAUACCAACGUCGACCUCGGUACGAAAAGAAGGCUUUUGAAAUUUAUGGUACGUUCAUAGGAAGGAAGUGUCGUUGGAAAAUAAAAUUCACUAGAAAAAUAACAUUAUUAAUAUCCUUAAAUUCAAAUCCUUCUGAUAUUCAACAAGUAUUCUACUCGGAUUAAAACUCUGAGACAUAGUUAGCAAGAAUGUAGGAAACUUGCGUGCAUUUUGGGGUGAAGAAACUGGAUACGGCAAAGAGAUAUGUUAAAGGCUAUGGCAAAAUAUGUAAUUUAGGUAUGUUACAAUGGGUUAAUUAAAAUACACAUGGCACCAAAAUUGUAGGAGAAUGUUUAAUCAAAUUGUUAAAUUGAAUAGAUGUUUAAUCUAAGAAGCCUAAAAAUGAGGGGUCUAUAUCAAAACGCCCCUUGUUUUUUCUGGACCGUUAUAAAUGAAUUAGAAUUGACAGUAAAUAUUUUGGUAAUAUACCUUGGUACCCAAGCCAUUUCCUUUUUAUUCUUUUGGAUUAAUCCCCAAGUCAUUUCCUAAACGUCCAUAAAUACACGGAACAUCCUUUAAUUCCCUAAUCUUUGCAAUAUCUGAAAAUUUAUUGCCAUUAGAAGAAAAAAAAUUAAAAAAGAAAGGAUAUACAGUUACAAACUUACAAUUAAGAAUUUAAGAGCUAUGAAAAGUGCUUAAAUUCGUACGGACUGUGACAAAAAUUGCAAGCUUUUCUCAUGAGACUACCGAAACUUUAACUUCUAAGGAUAUGAGCCUAUGCCUACUAGUUUUGCACUUACCAUUCACAUUUGAAAUUUCAUAUUCCUUUUACCAUAUGAAAUUGCACUUGUGAAACUGCAACAAGCAAGGGAUUUGGAAACUGCACUUAAGCAUUAUUAGAGCAUCUCCAAAAAAUUAGACGAUUUCUUGAAACAAAUUUGUACUUUGAUAGUUGAUGUGGCCAUUUGCCUAGUAAAAAUACGUACCCUUCCAAAAGAUAAGCUAAAAUAGAUGAAGUAUUUAUUAUUUUAUUGUAUAUCUACAUGACGUGACAUCAAAUCUUCUUCUUUCUUCUUCUUCUUCUUCUUUUUUUUUUUUUUUUUUUUUUUUUUUUUUGGUUUAUCAAUUAGUAUUUUGUUUUCCGUGUAACAUGAAUUAUUUAAAUUGUAACUUAAUCAAUCUUGAGACUCAUCUAAAAAUGGUCUCACAAGUUCUCAGGAUCUUAGGAGAGCUCUACAGGAAAGUGAGCAAGUUUGCUCCCCACCAUUCACCAUGAACCCCCCCCCCCCCGUGCAAACAUCUUGAUUAUCCGGCAUAACCAAAAUGAUAAAACGACAUGUUGCGAGAUGUCUUGUAUAUGCUGUCGUCCAGUGAUUAGUUUUAAAUUAGAUUGGAUAACUCACAAGAUUCAAUGUGUUUAAACGCAAAUAAUUGUCAACUUUAAAAUCUUGUCCAAACUGAAGGUAGAAGAUGAAUUUAACCUGAACGAGACUUAUCAAAUUCCUACUAAUCCACCAAACAAUUAGACUGGAUAAGUUUUCAUCGUAAUCAGUAGUCUUACAUCUUUUACCUUUAACUUGAACAAAAUUGUGGAGUUGGCAAAGCAAGUGAUUUUCGCGCACUCCUUUACUCAUGUGCAAAAGAAGCUAAAUUCAUACGAGUUCCCGUGUACCAACAAUAUUUCAUAACGAACAAUACUUGAUUACUCAAAAGAUGAGUAGGAACUCCUACUCAAAAUUUCUUAAAACUAUUCGCUAUCAAUUUAUAGAACUUCAUGUCUAUAAUCAAAACCGCAUAAAAAUCAAUAGUUACUAAGGUUGUUUAGUCAUUAUUGGUAAAAGCAUUACGAACCGUCUAUGUAUUUGCUACGAUAAAUUGUCUAAACAACCUUACUUUUAAUUUAUUUUUUGCAAAGAUGAUCUUUACAAUGUGAUUCAUAGUAUGAACGGUUCUGAUCAUGAGCACAAAACCCUGUGAUUAAAACACUAAGAAUUUUGAGUAAGAGUUCAUACUCAUUUUUGAGUAACCAAGUAUUGCUCUUUCAUAACAAAAGGUAACUCUUAAGCACUCAUAAAGCAGUAAUGGAUUUGAUAUGUUUAUAACGUGCAAAUUGUUUCAUGAAUAGAUAAGGCAUGUUUCGGUAUCAAAUAGGAUGGGGAAAUUCUUUCAUAACAAAGGUACCAAAACAGACUGACUGACACAAUGUGAAUCCAAUAGAGCCUCACACAUAUUUGCCCAUAAAUAAAACUCAAAGAACCUAAAACCAAAUCAAGAAAUUAUAUCCAAACAAACGGUCCUCGGUUUAUAUCAAUUUUCACUGACCUGUAACUUACUACCACGUAAUCAAAUAGGAUGGGGGAAACUCUGUGACAACAAAACCGUACUGAGAGAAUAACACACAACCCUUCAUCCUUCAAACAUGACCCGAAAGUCCCCGACUUUUGACGACAACGACGACAUCAAAGGGGCCAAACCAGACCCAUUGCAAAAUACCAUCAACCUUCACUCUUAAUCAUCUUUCUUCUUCCCCUUGACAUCAGGUGCCGUUUCUUCUGCUUUCUCCUCAGCAGGUGCUUCUGCUUCUUUUACUGUAUCACUCUUGGUUGCAGCAGGUGCCUCUGCCUCAGACUUCUCCCCAACACUCAAUUUAUCGAGAAGCCCAGCAGCUUCAGUAGCUUCCUUGCUUUCUUCUUCUGGACUCUGGGAUUCGGCAACUUCUUGAAACUUCUCCAUGAACAAUUUGUUAUCUGAUACAGCAGACAAACAACCAAACAUCAACAAGCAAAUUUCAUGAUGAUGCUCGGGAUCUUGUACCAAGAUAUGCUAUAAACACAUUUAGCACUUGCAGGCAACAUUAAUGCCAAGAAGACAAAAGGUAAAAAUUCUUGGAGAAGUUCCAACAUGCAAGUAGAGAUUGGAAAAAGGUCCAAAUUUACACUCUAUGUGCAAAGGGGUAUGCAUUCUUAGUACACGAUGUCUCUAUAGGUUUUAAUCUUAGUUAAGUGUACCAUUCCUUUUUCUUUCAAAAGAAAAGGCAGAACAGAUUCGAACAUGUUGAUUUCAGUGACGUGGCCAUAGCUUUAAAAAGAAAAAUUAAGGAUAAAAAUCAACUUCACAAACAUAAUUAACCCAAUCAGAAAAUUACUCACCUAAGAGAAACAAAAACAAAUCCAUACAAAACAAAGAGUUAUACAUUAAAUUUUUAACCUCCAAUAAAAGAACCAGACAUGUUGUAACCAAGGUAUAAAAUAUCAAUGAUAUCGGAAAUAUCGGUAGUCCAAAAAUACGGAAAUAUCAAUGGAAAUAUCGAGAUAUUAUCGAUAUCAAUAAAAAUUGAAUAAAAACCACGAAAAUUGUAAGAAAAACUUGGAAAUUUUUAUUGAAACUUUAGGUUGUAUGAGGCGGAGGAUCCAUCAAACCCGAGCGGGUUUUGGGAUCCAGAGAGAGGAUUGCAGAGAGAGGCACAAAUCUUGGCAGCUGCGACGACGGAGCUUCGAUUGCCGUUGCGACGAUGGAGCUUCGAUUGCCGUUGCGACAACGGAGAGAGCAAUAUUAUUGAUAAUAUCGCGAUAAUAUCAAUAAUUUCGCGAUAUUAUCGAUUCACGAUAAUCAAGUGCAGCACACUGAAAAUAUCGCUGUUGCAAAAAAACGAUAUUAUCGGCAAUAUUUCACCGAUAAUAUCGAUAUUUUAGACGUUGGUUGUAACAUAUACACAUGUCCACCUAGUACAUCUUUUCAAAGUUAAAAUGCCAAUGCUUUAGUGUUGGUCAUAGAACAGUUACUUAUUGGAGAGCAUCACACUCUAGAACAGCUAAUACAUAAAAUAAACAACGCAAUGUACAUCAUCAAAUAACUCAUAACACAAAGGCACACACAUAUAUGGUUGCUUCUAUUCACACCCGUCAUCACAAACAAGUUUAACUCACAAUUUUAAUGUCACUUGCAUCCCUCUUCAAACCCACUAUCAAAUGUUCAACUGACACCAUUAAUAAAAAUGAGUUUUAACAAAACACUCCCGGUACUGUUCACUUUUAACAAAAAACCACAUUUAUACGUUUCCCUAGUUCUAUUCACUAUACCUUUAAAAAUGACUUUUUAUUAAAAGGGAAGUCUUUUGGACUUUUCAUUAAAAGGGAAGUCUUUUGGACUUUUCGUUAGUUUUUCCUUUAAUAAAAACCGUAUACUUAUUAAACUCAGACAAAGGCAUAGAAAGAAAAGUUAUUAAAUUUGGGUACUUAAUGAGUUCGAAACGUCAAAUAUACUAGCAUAGAAACAAACUUAGGUUGCAUAUGAAAGCAUAGAACAGACUCAGAUAUAUACGGGCCCUUUUUGCAAAGGGAUCCCCAUUUUUUGAAAAAAUGGGGAUUAGGUGUGGAGCCCACUCCACAUCGAAUUUCAACGAUCUAAACCGUCUAUUUUGUAAAUAAAAAAUGAGAAUUAGGUGUGGAGCCCACUCCACAUCGAAUUUCAACGAUCCAAACCAUCUAUUUUGUAAAUCUCGAUUCAUAGUUCAUCCUUGCAAAAAAUCAAUUUAAUCUGAAACCAUUUGCCUAUUUAAUUAUCAAGAUCAAAUUUCAUUGUUUCUUAUAUAACAAAGUAUUCGCUCAUUUCAUUGAACCCAAUUAGAUGUCUUAAACAUUUCCAAUUUGGCUAAUAUUUUGCAAGGAUGAUCUAUGAGGUACAACUUGAAAAACAGACGGCUCAGAUUGUUAAAUUCGAUGUGGUGUGGACCCCACAACUAAUCCCCAUGUUUAUAAAAAAAAAAUUGGGAUCCCUCUCCUUCAAGCUUCCUCUAUAUAUAUAGAGACACACACAUAAAAGUAACAGUAUCAGCAAGCAAGCUCAAUUAUAAGUUAUUUACGAAAAGACAAGUUGAUUCAAACAAACCAUACUCACUUUCAAUUGAAGCGAAUCUAAUGCAGAAAAGCUCCUCCUUCAAUUCCCCAUCGGCAAAAUCAGUUGCGUGCCAAACACAAGACUUCUCAUUCCCGGCGUGCUCCUGGACUGUCAUCUUCGGUAGAACUGCAAUUAACAAUAUCACAGAGCACAAGCAAAAAAAAUUCAAAACCCUAAACCCACAAAAUCGUAACAAAUCAUAAAAAUUGUACGGUCUUAAAGGUACACAUGGACUGUGGGAGACUAACCGAGAUGAUUGGCGCAGAUCUUUAGGGUUUUGGACUGGCGCAUGACAAGGCGGACCUUGCCCGUCUUUUUGUGCUUGAGAAACUUGACAGUGCCAGCACCUCGCUCUUUCCACUGGUUACCGUCUUUAUCAAAUCGGUAAAGCUUCGCCUUCCUAAUUACACAAACACAGCAGAGAGAUUAAUAAGGAUUUAACAGUGUUGAGUACACUAAUCGAACGAAACCGAAUCCAAUCAAUCAAACCCUAGCUAUGAUCUUGCAGAUCGGUGUAAAAAGCAAAAAACCCUAGAAUCGGACGAGAAAUGAAUCGGGGGAGAGAUGCUUACAGAUCGAGGAUGGCGUCUUCCUCUUCUUCGCCGGUGGUAACGGCGACCUCCUCGAGCCGGACAAUCGGAGCUACCUGAGCUCCGGUGUCCUCGUCGUCGCCGGCGAGUGGGGCCUCCUCGUCUUCUCUAUGCUCGGGAUCGGCGGCACUCGACAUCUUGUAGAGAAAGAAAGUAGGAAGUAGGAGUGGUAGAAGAUUGUAGAGAGAUAAAGAGAGAAAUAUCAGAUAGGAGCGUGUAGAGAGAGAAUUCGGAACGGGAUGAAUGUUGAGGGUUGUUGGGUUUUUACCAGGAGAGCGAGCAGUAACACGCUCAUAGACGGCUAUUCAAAAUAACAACAAAAAGGCCCAACUCACUAAGCCCAAAACUCUUUGAGUCACACAAUGAGCUAAUUAUAAUUAGAGAUUGGAGUCUCAUAAUCGAAACAUCAAACUUCUCAAGUUUAAUGUGAACUCAAGGCUCGUUUGGGAGUGUUUUUAGAAUAGCUGAAAGCGCUUUUCGUGAAAAUGUUUUUGGAACCCAUCAUCAGUAAAAUGCAAGUCAAUCCUAGAAAAUCACUUUGAGCGCUUUUGAAAUCCAAAAACAUAUCCAUGGUCUUUAAGGCAAGACCUAAAAGACAGAUUUUUCGGAUCAUUGAAAUAUAUUACAAAGCCCCACAAAAACGUGUAUAAAAAAUUAUUUAAAAAAACUAGUAUCACGAAUCCGUCCCUAUAUAUCUAUAUACUAAAUACUUUUUCUUGUGCCCUUCAGAUUUAAGGGGGGCCGGGGGUUGGGGGGACAAUCUUCAAGAGCAAUGGAAAGAAAUGUCUAACUCACCAAGUGGGAAGUGUUAGUACAAAAAUUUGACCAAUGAAAAGUUUCUUGACACUAACAAGAACAAGUUCAACAAAAUUUCCUAUACAGGUAGUAAGAGUGUUGCCACAACCAUAGCCAUGAACUAAGUGCAAGCACGGUUGCCAUCCUACAUCUCUCAAACAGCCAAGCAAAAAAGAAUUUGAUACUGUAAAUUAAAAAGAAUUUCUAUAAACGUCACCAUAAACCCGCAGAAAACAAAGAUGUUGUACCGGCUCAACCCUUCAUUGAAAACGAAUUGCCUGCAGCCUGACAGAAGAGUUCCGGACAUACUAGUUUCAACCAGUAGGAGUUGUUAGAGCGCUCGUAAACCUCAAUCCGUGUCAAAAUUUAGUAAGAGGGGCCCAUUUGCGGCAUUCCAAAUGGUGGCAUUGGCGGCAUCCCCAUCCCUCCCAUUGGCGGCAUUGGUGGUGGAGCAUAACCUCCCAUUCCCGGUGGUGCAGGCAAGGCAGGCAGCAACUGAGCAUACAUAUUCUGCAGAUCCAAAAAACAAUCGUCUUUCAAAAUUUCUUGAAGACAAUAAAUUUAAAAGAAAGGCUCUCAGUGACACAAGGAUAAAGCAAAACAGAAAUACCUGCUGGGCAACCAAUUCCUUCUCCUCUUUCUCUUUGGCUUUCACCUCGUUUUGAGCUUCGAUUUUGUCUUUAAUAAGUUCAUCAACCUUUCCUGUGUACUCUCGAAUAAACUAGAGAGAGAAGGUUGGGUAAGUGAGGAACAAUUAAAGGUAACUAAUGGACAAAGACAACACCAAUAAAAGCAUUACCUGCAGAAGGUAUGGUAAGGCAAAAUCAAUUAUAUUGUUCAUCCACGCAAGCUCGAGGGCAACAUCUGGCCGGAUCAUAUCAUAACAAACAAAUAGGCAUGCAGCAAAACACUCUUUCUUUCCCUGCAUAUACAUUACAGAAGAAUAUGAUUACAAAACCACAUAAAAAAUAAUACUUUACAAAGAGAAAGGGAAAUAAGCAUGGACUGAACCGCCUUCUUUAGUUCAUGAGGUGGAAAGAGGGAAAGAAAUAAAUGUGUAUGUUUGAGCAGAUAAAUCCUUGCUUUAUUGGUAUACAUGAGCGCUCCUUAACUAGUGCAUAGAAAGAACACAGACCUGCUCAAUGAAAUAGAUAAGCAGUUCCUCCGAAAGUUCAUGAUCACCAGACUGUGAGCAUGUCUCCAUGCAAUCUUUGUAAUGAUUGUCUUUCUUUGACAAGGCAAUGGAUUGCUUCCAUCUACCUGCUUUCUUGUAAAUGUAUGCAGCAACACGUCUCAUCUCCAAAAGCUCAUGUUUCUCAAGCUGCUCAUUUGCAUCAAUAACAAAUAAUAAGUACAAGCCUCAAUCAAAGACUUCCCAUGUAUGAGAAACUUCAACCUCACCUUUUGAGCAAGACCGAUCUGAUCAAAGCUGUCGUGUAAAUCUAUUGAUUCACGAAGCCUGUCAUAGUCUUCCUCCUCUAUGUAUAUUUCAUUUAGAGCUUCAUUUACAGCAGUUACAUUGUUGCUCUGAACUGCAACCAUGUAUGGCUUUAUGAGACAGAUGUGACCAGCCUGAAACUCAAAGGGAUUGAAAAUGUAAGCACAAAAGAACUCUUUCCAAACCCUGCCAGAAGAUAAAUUUGGCAGCAGAGACCAGUAUAAAUAACAUCGUGAGAGAGAAGCAAACCUUUCUCAUUAUAUCCACCACUCUGGUGUGGUCGACACGAAGUGCAAUCACAUUAAGAACAUCAUUAAUAACAUCAGGAUGUUCUUCUAAGUAGAAGUGCACAGCCCUAUAGUAGAGUUCGACACUUGCAACUUUGACAAUAACAUCCUUGAAUUGCAUGUGGUCCCAUGCUUCUGGGGAGUGGUUCAUUAUGGUAGUUGCAGCAUUAUCAAACUCAUCAUAUUGGAUAUAUAAGUAUGUUAAUUCUUUCCAGUGCUGCUGUUCAUCACAAGCUCGUAUAAGCUUGGGAAUGUUCAGACGGGUAGAGAACAGUUUAAUGUGUUCCAUAAGCUUCUCAGGACGGUAUCUUGCAUAUAGAACUCCUAAUUCCGUAAAGAUGCCCAUAUGUGCACGCUCCAACCCUAGCCCACUCUCCAUGAGACUAAUGAGCUCAUUAAAGCAUCCCCUGUUCUGGUAAUACUCACAGACCUCUUCCAAAUCAUCCACCUAUAAAUAAAACAUGCACGAGUAAGGAAUAAUCAAAAGUAUAAUUGACCAACCAAUUAAUUGUGUCCUAUGGUGCUUACAAUCUGCAGUGCUUACAACUUAACCAAAACUUAAUUCAAGAAUACACCUCCCAUUUUAGGAAACAUCUUAAUAAACAAAGCAUCAGAUAUAACUUCGGGAAGACAUGUAAAAUUAACAUAAAUGGUAAAGGCUACCUGAAUGAUGAUGUUGAGUCCACAAAUCUGAGCUAAGCGGAAUUCCUCAGCAUCAACGCAUGCAAAGCAAACAAACUUCCACGUUUUUGAGCUGUUAGCUUUCCGAGCUGCAUCAACGGCACCUUGAAACUGAUUUAGCUUCACAAGAGUACAUGCUAGUUUACCCCAGUUAGAAAUGAAUGCAAAUAUGAUCUUGGCUGCUUCGUAUAGGGCCUCAUCAAACAAGCGAUCCCCAACAUUUUGGAGAUUGGCAACAUUUGGCAUAAGAAUGAAUUCUUCAAUAUCACCAAGCCGAUCAAUCUUAGCAUACGCAUAAAUAAGUUCACUGUCGACCUUCGGCUCCUUGGUCUUCUGCCUAACCAUCAGAAGGUACCUUACCAAGUCAUGAUAUACAUCUGCAUCCUCAGAAGCACGUAUGACAUCCAAAAAGUGGGUGGCAUCAUCUGCACGGAUGAAUGAUUCGAUGGCAUCACUCACUAAUCCCUCUCGCAAUUGGGCCUUGGCCACCUGGCUCCAAACAGCAUCUUCUUCAACCCGGAAUGCAAACUCUACAGCUCGGUCAAUGCUCUGAAUGUUAUCCAACAGGACAUUCACAGCAUCAACAUUCAAAUUGAACUUCUUGAAGAUUGCAAAUGCUUCUUCAUACAAUUGAGCUUCUACAGCCAUUACUCCAACUGCGGGUCCAUCAAAGUUGUCUAAUCUAUUGAUAUAGUCCAUGACUCUGGAUGGAUCAGUUUUGAUGGCAGUCAGAAUUAACAGAUUCUGCAGAUUGAAGUUCCCACUAAAAGCAGAAUUUUGCAGCACUAUCUUUUCAAGAAGCUCAAUCAACUCGUGUGGAAGGUCCGCAGUCAUAAAUGCUUUAACAGUUGCCGAAACUUGCUCAGGACUCUUGCUUUCAGGCAAGGCAGUAGAUACAACUUGAUCGAUUAGUUGCCUUUUAUAUUCAUUUUCAGGAUCAAGGACCUUAGCCCAGAGGUCAUCAUCCAUUCUUUCCACGACAUAUCUGACAUACAUAUAUCAAGUAAAUAGCAUAAGAGAGCUACAUACAAUCAUGAUCCAAUAACAUCUAACUGCCAAACAGAAACACACAAACCUGGCCUGGAGUUUGAACAAGGAAUUUUUAUUUGUAACAUUAAUGAGCUCAUCAUCACAUUGCCCUCUACGGUAUGCAACAACAGCAAGGGUAGGAUCCCUUUUCUCACAAUAUUUACCCACAACGCGAGAAUCAUAGUAUGGGUUAGUUGUGAGAAAAUGCUCAGGAUUGUUGCCGCUAUCUAUGAUGAUUUUACCCAGAGCAUUGUGGACAUGUACGUCUUGGCUUCCCUCACUCACAAGAUGCUCCAAAAAUUGAGUGAGCAAGCGAAGACGAUUCCUGCAAAUAGAAAUCACAGAAACGAUAAGCAACUAAUGUGAGUGAUGAAGGGAAAACGGGGUCAUAAAGAGAUCACUACACCUCUUUUCACAUUCCUCGACAAGGGGCUCAACCGGUAGAAGAGAACGAACUGAUAGAAUAAGACCCUUAAUGAAAUCUUCAGGACAUUCAUCAUCCAGUAGCUGCCCUACAACUAAAGGAGCAUUUCCUGGAUUGACCUAUCAAGCCAAAUAAGAUCUAUAACGGUCGAUGCUCAAUUUGAAUAAUAACAUUGACAAAGCAUAAGAAAUAUAACAGGAAACCUGCAAUUGGAAAGAAAGAAAAACGUUGAUAUAAAGCCUCCAAGUACAAAUACCUUUUGGACAUAACCUUCAAUGUAACGAAGCAUAUUGUUCGUAUACAGAUAAUGGGUGAGAUCUGGAACAAAGCCAAAACGAUCACAGACAUUAAUUAGAGGACGUGCGUCUGGAAGCUUUGCUUCCAUUAAAAAGUUCUUAGCCUUUUCAGGGUCAUAAAAAUUUGAUUCCCGUGUCACACGCUCCACCUCCUUAAUCUGUCCAGUUUUUGCAGCUGCUUCAAUGUACUUGAAAUGAAUAUCAGGAUCCUCGCUGUUCAGAAAUGAUGAAUAAAUGAAAGGGACAAAGGAAAAAGAAUGCCACAAAACUUGCGGAGCAAAUGAAUGUCAUCUGUAAACUUCUCUUCCACCUAAAGAAACUGAUACCUGGAGCUCAAAUAUGCGCCUAGGAAGAAGUACAGCCCCUCAUAGGACUUGAACUGCUCAAACAAUUUUAUACACUUAUCUACACCCAGUUGCUCGCAAUACUCUUUGGCGGUCUGUACAAAAAUGAUCAGGUAAGCCUCAACUUUAUAAACGAUGAAAGAGCAAUAACUGGUAAAAAUUAUGUGUAUAUAUAUAUAUAUUAAAAAAAUAAAAAUAAUAAAAAAAGCACUUUACCUGUACAAUAAUCUGAAGAUUGCCCCUAAGAUUGACCAGCAGAAGAUCUUUCAUGCACUCAAGAGCCCAUUCUACAGAGAGAGUUCCAAAGAACUCGACAAGAGCCUAAAAUACACAUUGUAGUUAGAUAUAUACUACUCCACAUAUGAUCAAGUUAUAAGGACAUUUAAGUGCCAACCUGAGGGUCAAUUGCAUGUGUGUUCACGAUGACACGUUUGAUAUCAGGCAAUUCAGUGUAGUGCUGCACAUUAAACAUACUAUUAGUCAGGAAACAAAUUAUCAUUUUUAAAUGAAAUUUAUCAGAAUCCAAGAAGUACUAUACCUGUAGGGCACGCAAAUACAAACCAGCUUUUUCACAAAGUUGACCAAUGCGUGGGCGAUCAUAAUAGCUGAACAUACCAUUGGCCAAUAUAGCAUCCGCAACAUUUGGAAAAGUCACAAGAUUGAUUUCCAAAACCUAAAACGAAACAUAAUAUGGAGCAGAUAGGUGAAGAUACCAACUCUAGUUGUACUUUUAGCUUUGUUUUUGAAAAAAAAAAAAAAAAAGGACAAGGAAGGGGAAAAGAAACCAAAGUUUAGAGAAAGGGUUAUGAACCUUUGUCUGAAGGAAUCCAUGCUCAGGUAGAUUCGGCUUCAGCACAUCCAACAAAAAGGCUGUUGCUUCACGGAUCAAGUUCCUCUGAACAAUAAGAGAAAAUACACAGAUAAGAAGUCCCAAAACUCAUACUGUUCAGAAAAACAACAAAAUGAAGAACAUAUUCCAACCAAAAAUUGUUGACACAACAUAAAAGCAUAUAUUCAAUU